CGCGUAGGCGGCUUUAUAAGUCAGAUGUGAAAUCCCUGGGCUUAACCUAUGAAUGGCAUUUGAAACUGUAAGGCUAGAGAUCGAGAGAGGAUAGUGGAAUUGCGAGUGUAGAGGUGAAAUUCGUAGAUAUUCGCAAGAACACCGGUGGCGAAGGCGGCUAUCUGGCUCGAUACUGACGCUAAGGCGCGAAAGCGUGGGGAGCAAACA
rnacentral:rRNA from 1 species